CACGUAGGGACCGAGCGUUGUCCGGAUUUAUUGGGCGUAAAGAGCUCGUAGGCUGUUCAGUAAGUCAGGUGUGAAAACUCUGGGCUUAACCCAGAGCCUGCAUUUGAUACUGCUGUGACUAGAGUUCGGUAGGGGAGCGGGGAAUUCCUAGUGUAGCGGUGAAAUGCGCAGAUAUUAGGAGGAACACCGGUGGCGAAGGCGCCGCUCUGGGCCGAAACUGACGCUGAGGAGCGAAAGCGUGGGUAGCAAACAGG
rnacentral:rRNA from 1 species